AUUGAACGCUGGCGGCAUGCUUUACACGUGCACGUCGAACGGCAGCGCGGGCUUCGGCCUGGCGGCGAGUGGCGAACGGGUGAGUAAUGCAUCGGAACGUGCCCAGUAGUGGGGGAUAGCCCGGCGAAAGCCGGAUUAAUACCGCAUACGACCUGAGGGUGAAAGCGGGGGACCGAAAGGCCUCGCGCUAUUGGAGCGGCCGAUGUCGGAUUAGCUAGUUGGUGGGGUAAAGGCUUACCAAGGCGACGAUCCGUAGCUGGUCUGAGAGGACGACCAGCCACACUGGGACUGAGACACGGCCCAGACUCCUACGGGAGGCAGCAGUGGGGAAUUUUGGACAAUGGGGGCAACCCUGAUCCAGCCAUGCCGCGUGCGGGAAGAAGGCCUUCGGGUUGUAAACCGCUUUUGUUCGGGAAGAAAUCCUCUGGGCUAAUACCCCGGGGGGAUGACGGUACCGGAAGAAUAAGCACCGGCUAACUACGUG
rnacentral:rRNA from 1 species